rnacentral:misc_RNA from 1 species
AUUUAUUUUGCCUAUAAAAGCAAAUUACCAACCUCUGCAAACUUCAUCUUUAAUCUCUCUCUCAAAUCAGCCCAUAAGCCCCCCCUCUUGGGGGCUGCCUUCUCUCUCUUAGAUAGACCAAAAAAAAUUUUCGAAAUUGCUUUCUUUGUGUUUGUGAAAACAGAGCCUCUGCUUCUCUCAAGAAUACCCAAUUCAAAUUGUUGGUCUUUAUUUUCAUUUCUAUAUAUAUAUAUAUUCUCUUGUUUUCCUUCUUGUGCUUGAUUUUUUGUCCUCUUCUGGCCUUUUUGGAUCUAAGUUUUGUUCUUUUUUAUUUAAUUUGUUUGGGUUUGGGUUUUGUUUAAUUACUCUGUAUUCUUCUUGCAGUGCAAAGAAUUGAUGGUGGUGAUGCCAACUGAUCCUCGUCCUCCUCUGAAGAUCAAGAACUCAAAUUUCCCUCCAAUCCCAAAGAGAGGCAGGGUCAAAGCUCAAAUUUUUGAGAGCUUGGCAAAGACUGUCGUCUCUGUGGCCUUCAAGGCAGGAGGAAUUCUGAAAAGAAACGGAGGAGAACGUGGAGAUAGCGGAAGUUCUUCCCCUGCGACCCCAGCACCCAGUCCCUUCCAACUCUAAAGCCAAUUCUGAUUUCUUAGACGCGAUCAGAUUGGUACUCAUGAACAAGUUGAAUCGUUUGGUGUAGCUUAAAGAUGUAGAAAACCAACAAGGGUUCCUUGCAUAACUCAUAUUUGAGCUAGUUUUAGCAAGGAUUAUACCCAUCUAUGUGUAUAUUUUGUAAUUCAGCGUCUUUGUAGCUAUGAUUUUGGCUGUCUUUUAGAGGAAGCCCAAAUCAUAUUCAUCAUUUCUCAAGUUUUAGGGAAGAGAUGAUAGUUUAUAUGUGUACUUGUGAUGGUGUCUUUGCUUUUUGUAUUCCCACUUCUCUGUUAAGUCAUGUCUACUUCUUGUAUUCUGUUAAUUGUAAUGGCAAUGAAUUUUAUUUGGCAUUUUGU